CGGGUUGCGUCACGAAAACCGGACGCAAUGUAAAACCGCAUAUUAUCGUAUAUUAUGUAUACAAAAUAAAUAAUAAUAUUAUGAGCGUAAAACGUAUAUAAAAUAUUAUAUACGCGUAGCUGCAAAUUUCCCCAACGCUUAAAUACGUAUUACUGCAACCACCGUAUUCGAUGAAUCGCGUGUUUUCGCCCUGCCACGCCCACACGAGCUUAAAGUUAUCGACAUAUCGUCACGCACGUUAUUUUACGUAUAAAAGGUCUGAGACAUUUUGCACAACGCAAAACGCUUAUGCAAACGCUGUAUAGUGCGCGAUAUCGUCACUGCAGGAUGCUGCUAUCGAAACCGCGGACAACCGUUAACUCUGAAACGAUUGAUGUGUAAUUAUUUUUUGACCAACGAGAUUUUUUCUUCCAUUUCCACUACCCAAAUCAGUGCUCGGAGGAUGGGGAUUUCGAGAUGCAGAGGAAAAAGUGAGAACCUGCAGAUUACCGCAGACCAUCACAUCGAUUGACUUUGACAAGAUCGCUGUGAGAUUAGGACUAUCGUUUAUGUUCAACUGUAUUGAAGGCGGAAUAAAGUAGUAGUAAUAAUAGUAUCACUCAACCAAAACUAAAGCCGAUGGGAGCAUCUAUCUAAUUUUUUAUGUAAAUAUAGAUUCGAUAGUACUUGAAGUUUCAUACUUAUAUAGAUUACCGAGUAUAGUAGCAAACGCACAGUCGAGAAUAUAAUAUAUAUAUACAUUAUACAUAUAAACAUUUAAGUUACAAGGUACAUACAUCGAUUGUCAAAUUUACCAGUAUUGAGUUCCAACAACUGGCAUGCUUGACAAGUAGUUAUACUUAAGUAUAUAUUGGCUGUUCCUUAAACAUGUGACACAUUUUACCAACUAUCUUCGAGAAACACACAAAUGACAAAUGUAGACCAUUCCUGCAGCAUUACAAGUGUCCACAUGUGACAAACAUUUGGCAAGUAUAUACGAGUCGUGGGAACUCAGCUCUAAAAGUUAUAUAUAAGAUAGUCAACAUGACGAUUUUAUUAAGUGUCAUAAACUUAUAACGUUUCAAUAUAUUUUACUGAAAAUAUAGGUAAAAUCCACUUAUGAUCGGAUAAAUGGUGUGAUUAAUAACUAAAUGGUAAUACAUUAUUUGACAUCAAACACGCUCAACACAUAGUAUAAUGGCCGUGGGCUUAAGUACCUAUUGCAAAAUUUUUAAUUAAUAUAUUUUGUUUUUUUUUUUUUUAAAAACAAUCAAAUCUUGGAUAAAAUUACUAAAAUCUAUGUUAUUAAUAAAUUAAUCCGUUUGUGUAUUUCAUACACAGUACAGAUUCUCUUCUCUGAACUUCAAGAAUAAGUGAAAAUGAAGUCUUCCUAUAUGGAUUUAUUAAAUAUAAGACAUCGCAUAACUGUAAAAAUACAAAUUCGUAACAGUUGAUACUCAGUGAAGUUAUUACCGGUUAUCUUAAAUUCUUAACUGUAGGGUUGGAAAGUAUUAAAACAAAAUUCUUUGGACGUAUGUUUAAAACCGUUCGAUCAACGUUUAAAAUACUGUAUUCAAAUUAAAAAAAAAAGAAAAAUUUUACGUAUUUUUACUUUCUAGUUAGAAUUUAAUUAUUAAUACUGAUAAAUAAAUAAUUUUUUUUUUUUUUUUUUAAUUUAUAAUAUCUCAAAAAAGUAUUGUUUUUAGUUUUUAAAACAAGUUUAAAAUAUAUCACCGUAAUUCACAGUUUACAAGAAAAACAUGGUGUUAAUCAAAUAAAACAUUUGUUUUGUUUAUUUUAAGAAAAACUAUUUUAUUCAACCCUGAUUAUAAGUAACUGGACGAGUAUUUAUAGUAUUGUAAGUAGUAAGUACGUAAUAAUAAUAUUAUAGUGAUUAUUCACGGUAUACAUUUAACUGAUUUUUACAUCAUUGGGUUGUGUUAGGGUAGUCCUCUCGCGAAAUAUCCCGAAGUUACAAUUUAUAAUUGAUAUCUGUGACAAAAUAUAUCAAAAAUGUUUUAAUCGACGUAGAGAAUGUUCAAUAUUUAUCCGCGUUUCCCCGCGUCGGGCCUCCGGUAUGCGUAUAAUAUUGUGACACAGUGACUCUCGUUAUUAUAAAACAUUCAGCCGUUAUUAUAAUAAUAAGUAAGUAUUAUUAGUAAAUUACAUGACUAUACCGUAAAGUAGUUAUUAAUUACGGAUCGUUCGAUAAAUUAAUUUCGUUAGUUUUUAUGAUUAGCCCUUAUCAUCCGAAAACCACGUUGUUGUACACGAUAACUUAUUAUUUAUUAGCAUAACACAUACAAAUAGAUACGCUUUUAUCAUCAUAUACCAUAUAAUAUUAAAUACCUAUCUAUGUAAUAUUAUAAUAGGAUAUACCGUAUUAAAUCGCAUUUAGGGUUCGCGGUUUUAUUUUCAUGUCGUCACUAUUUUGGACGGUUGAUCUUUUAAUACUCUAAAAUAAAUAGGUACCUACACGACUAUUAUACAAUUAUCUGUUAUUGUCACGUCGUCAUGCUUGCAGUAAAUGAGCUAAAAAAUCGUGUAUGAUAAAAUUAUUUAAAUCCAUCUUAUUUCGUCAUCGUACGAGACGAAAAGUUAAUUAAUGUGUCUAACUACAUUGAGACCAUACCUAGUCAUAAUGACACGAACGAUAUACUUGUACGUGUUUCUAAUUAAUGUCUGUCGAAAACUAAUGAUGUAAUAUACCUAUAAUUUUAAAAUAUACUUAACUUCCUACACGACGUCAGUAGAUUUAUUGAUAAGGAAAAUAUCGUUUAGUUUAUUCAAAUUGAAAAGAGAAAUAUACAUAAAUUAUACUUUUAUAAGUACAGUGAACUCGAUUCACCGAAUUCCGAGUUAAAGUUUCAUCAUAGUUUACAGAUUUAUUUAUUUAGGGAUCCUAUGACAUAAUCAAUUAAGGUAUAAUAAUAUGUAUGUAUAUUGUAUAUGUUAUGUAUAAUUAUCGUUUUAAGUUU